rnacentral:rRNA from 1 species
GAUGAACGCUGGCGGCGUGCCUAACACAUGCAAGUCGAGCGAACGGACGAGAAGCUUGCUCUUCUGAUGUUAGCGGCGGACGGGUGAGUAAGACGUGGAUAACCUACCUAUAAGACUGGGAUAACUUCGGGAAACCGGAGCUAAUACUGGAUAAUAUUUUGAACCGCAUGGUUCAAAAGUGAAAGACGGUCUUGCUGUCACUUAUAGAUGGAUCCGCGCUGCAUUAGCUAGUUGGUAAGGUAACGGCUUACCAAGGCAACGAUGCAUAGCCGACCUGAGAGGGUGAUCGGCCACACUGGAACUGAGACACGGUCCAGACUCCUACGGGAGGCAGCAGUAGGGAAUCUUCCGCAAUGGGCGAAAGCCUGACGGAGCAACGCCGCGUGAGUGAUGAAGGUCUUCGGAUCGUAAAACUCUGUUAUUAGGGAAGAACAGAUGUGUAAGUAACUGUGCACGUCUUGACGGUACCUAAUCAGAAAGCCACGGCUAACUACGUG